AACAAUGCAUACAAAUCGAAAUCUAAAAAGCGCGGAACUUUCAUAUAUUUUCCGUCGGAGCAAUUAUUUUUCAACCCUGUAGAAAAAGCGGGCUCAAUUAAUCGCGCGGAACCUUAUUUAUCUACUCUGUACAAAUAGUAGUGUUUAAAAUCGCGCGGAGAUUGUAGAAUGCUAUUUUAAGAAGUCUAUUAAAGAGAGAAAUCCAGUAAAUACCAGAUCCAAAAAGCGCGGAACACAAAUAUCGUCCGCGAAAAUUAAGCAUUGAAUUACUGUACAAAUCUCGGGUUGUUAGGUGUUAGAAUCCCUAGUUACCCGAAAAAUUUGAUUGGAUCCGAUACUUAGAAAUAACCAAUCAGAUACUUUGUAACAAAUGCAACACAAUCAGUGCGUUCAAUAAGUAUAACGUUUCAAGAUGGCGGAGCGAAUUGCAUGGUUAUUGUUUCUACUCGAUAAUUCGUAAAUAGAUCAGAUUGGGAUCAAUAACUUUAUUGCAUACGAUCAUUUACAUGAAUUACCUGGUGUGUGUUGCCAGUAAUGGUUGAAGAUAUGCCAAACAAAUUGUGCCUCUCUAUACAGACAGAUUUCAGGUCUCAAUUUCAACUUCAAAGGUCAACAUAUCACUGAUAUCAGGAAUUCUGUGAAACUGUGGCACCAUGUAUGGUACGUGAGCGCACAAUGUCUGUUGGGAAAAGGAUAUUGGAAUAAGCAAAGGUAAAUUUUAUGUGAAGGAGGCUUGACAAUUGCAAAUAUGGUUAGUUUUUUUGUAAGGCUCGCAGAAAGUGGCCCUAGCCUUCAUAUGUAAACAAAAAGCUGAAGGAGUAUUUAUGAAAAAUCGUGUAAUCAAGUGUGCAAUCUGUUACAUUUUAUUUAUUAGCUCAUCUAUUUUUUUUGAAAAAAAA